UGUCCAGUAGCACCUUAGAGACCAACUAAGUUUGUUCUGGGUAUAAGCUUUCAUGUGUAUAUCGGAAGAAGUGUGCAUGCACACAAAAGCUUAUACCCAGAACAAACUUAGUUGGUCUCUAAGGUGCUACUGGACA